ACUUGCAGAGAGUAGUUUUUACUCUCAACAAUAAGAACUUUGGAGUUUUCCCUAUUCUCUUAUGGGGAAAUCAUAAGUUCGCUUAUUUGAAGAGACAAACAAUUAUUCAUAUUAUUAUUAUUAAAGACAGAUCUACAUUUUUUUAAAAAAACAUGAAUCGUGUCUCAGCAUCAGACCAACAAGAAUUUAUAGAAGCAUAAAGUAGCAUUGGGUCCUGUGCCGUGGAGGAGACAACAAAAUCCUGACUGAAAUUAUUUGCACUGAAGAAGCAUCCAAAACUUUGUGACAGUGCUGUGGAUCUUCACUUGUACAUUCCUAUAUUCCGAUACUCCAUUAUUAGUCAUCUGUAUAUCCUUGCAUUUUGUUCUUUAUAUAAAUUAUUUCUUGUUUUUGAAAUUGUU